rnacentral:rRNA from 1 species
AUACGGAGGAUGCAAGCGUUAUCCGGAUUUAUUGGGUUUAAAGGGUGCGUAGGCGGUUUGCUAAGCGGGAGGUGAAAUGCCGGCGCUCAACGUCGGAAGUGCCUCCCGAACUGGUGGACUGGAAUGACUCUGCCGUGGGAGGAAUGUGUAGUGUAGCGGUGAAAUGCUUAGAGAUUACACAGAACACCGAUUGCGAAGGCAUCUCACGAAGGGUUGAUUGACGCUGAGGCACGAAAGCGUAGGGAUCAAACAGGAUUAGAUAUCCUGGUAGUCCACGCAGUAAACGAUGAUGGCUAACCGCUGGGCUUAUCAGUUCAGUGGCCAAGCGAAAGCGAUAAGCCAUCCACCUGGGGAGUACGACCGCAAGGUUGAAACUCAAAGGAAUUGACGGGG